GAUUGAACGCUGGCGGUAUGCUUAACACAUGCAAGUCGAACGGAAACGAUACUAGCUUGCUAGUAGGCGUCGAGUGGCGGACGGGUGAGUAACGCGUAGGAAUCUACCUGAUAGUGGGGGAUAGCCCGAAGAAAUUCGGAUUAAUACCGCAUAAUCUAUUCGUAGUAAAGUGGGGGACUUUCGAGCCUCACGCUAUCAGAUGAGCCUGCGUAAGAUUAGCUAGUUGGUAGGGUAAAAGCCUACCAAGGCUACGAUCUUUAGCUGGUCUGAGAGGAUGAUCAGCCACAUCGGGACUGAGACACGGCCCGAACUCCUACGGGAGGCAGCAGUGGGGAAUAUUGGACAAUGGGGGCAACCCUGAUCCAGCAAUACCGCGUGUGUGAAGAAGGCCUGAGGGUUGUAAAGCACUUUCAAUUGUGAAGAAAAGCUAGUGGUUAAUAGCCAUUAGCCUUGACGUUAACUUUAGAAGAAGCACCGGCUAACUCCGUGCCAGCAGCCGCGGUAAUACGGAGGGUGCAAGCGUUAAUCGGAAUUACUGGGCGUAAAGCGUGCGUAGGCGGUUUAUUAAGUCAGAUGUGAAAGCCCCGGGCUUAACCUGGGAACUGCAUUUGAAACUGGUCAACUAGAGUAUGGUAGAGGAAAGUGGAAUUUCUGGUGUAGCGGUGAAAUGCGUAGAUAUCAGAAGGAACAUCAAUGGCGAAGGCAACUUUCUGGACCCAAUACUGACGCUGAGGUACGAAAGCGUGGGUAGCAAACAGGAUUAGAUACCCUGGUAGUGCACGCGUAAACGAUGAUAACUAGCCGUUGGGGGGAUUUACCCCUUAGUGGCGAAGCUAACGCGUUAAGUUAUCCGCCUGGGGAGUACGGCCGCAAGGUUAAAACUCAAAGGAAUUGACGGGGACCCGCACAAGCGGUGGAGCAUGUGGUUUAAUUCGAUGCAACGCGAAGAACCUUACCUGGUCUUGACAUCCUGAGAACUUUCUAGAAAUAGAUUGGUGCCUUCGGGAACUCAGUGACAGGUGCUGCAUGGCUGUCGUCAGCUCGUGUCGUGAGAUGUUGGGUUAAGUCCCGUAACGAGCGCAACCCCUAUCCUUAUUUGCCAGCACAUCAUGGUGGGAACUAUAAGGAGACUGCCGGUGAUAAACCGGAGGAAGGCGGGGACGACGUCAAGUCAUCAUGGCCCUUACGACCAGGGCUACACACGUGCUACAAUGGGAAGGACAAAGAGCCGCGAAGCCGCGAGGUGUAGCUAAUCUCAGAAACCUUUUCGUAGUCCGGAUUGGAGUCUGCAACUCGACUCCAUGAAGUCGGAAUCGCUAGUAAUCGUAGAUCAGAAUGCUACGGUGAAUACGUUCCCGGGUCUUGUACACACCG
rnacentral:rRNA from 1 species